UUUUUGAAAGGAUGUUUCCAUCUGCUAAAUUUAAGUUUGUAUGCAUUACAGACACUGACCCACACAGAGGGGAAAGUUUAAAAUGACCUCUAGCUGCCUUCCCAAAGGAUGAAAAUGAGAUCUAUACAUCUCGAUCAGAGACUUCAGCAUUUUCUGCAUCACAAAUUAUGAAUGAACUUCGGUUGAAAGCAUGAUUAUCCCAGCCUGGAAUCCUCCAACUAACUAGCCUUGAACUAUUCUGAUCUUUCUGGCCGUAUAAUUCCCGUAUUUUCUCCUAGUAAUAAAUGUGUGAUUGGUGAGGCUGAGCCA
rnacentral:lncRNA from 1 species